rnacentral:rRNA from 1 species
GCCUAGCCAUAACACACAAUCAAACUACGAAUUGUUCGCCAAACAACUACGAGUAAUACUUAAAACUUAAAAGACUUGACGGUGCUUCACCCCGACCUAGAGGAGCCUGUCUAAUAACCGACAAUCCACGAUCAACCCAACCAUUUCUUGCCUAACAGUCUAUAUACCGCCGUCGCCAGCUUACCUUGUAAAAGAAAUAAAGUGAGCUAAACAGUAAUACACUAAAACGACAGGUCGAGGUGUAACUUAUGAAAUGGACCAAGAUGGGCUACAUUCUUCAACCAAGAAUACGAAUAACACUAUGAAAUUUAUGUUUAAAGGCGGAUUUAGCAGUAAGAUAAGAAUAGAAUACCUAACUGAAUAUAACGCAAUGAAGUGCGCACACACCGCCCGUCAUCCCUGCCACUAC